GCUGGCACAGUGCUCUAUUUUGAAUUUGGUACGCUAAUAAUGUUGAUAACACUGAUGUUUUGGUUGUUGCUAAAUUGUGUUUGUCCUACAUCAAGGACAUUUCAGUGUCCCAUGCUCUGCCAGUGAGGAGAUCCAGAAGAAGCUGUGAGGGAGCGUGGCCAGGACAGCUAACCCUGACUGCCCAAAGGGAUUUUCCGUACCACAGAAUGACGUGCACAGUGUAUGAACUAAUGGGAGUUGGCUGGGAGGGGCCCAUCGCUGCUAAGGGGAGGACUGGGGAUUGAUCGAUCGACAGGUGGUGAGUGAUUGCAUUAUGCAUCACUUGUGUUUCUUGGGUUUUACUCCUCUCCUUUUCCUAUUUUUAUUUUACUUUACUGUAUUUCAAUCAUUAAACUGUUCUUAACUGAUGGUUUUAUCUUUGUUCUGAUACUCCUCUCCAUGCCAUUGGAGUGGGGUGUCUGCAUGGUACUUAGUUGUGUGCUGAUAGUAUCUGAAACCAUGAUAGUAUCUGAAGAUUCUGUUCUUGUAGGUUUCGACAUCUGACUAAUUUCAAUAUGAGCUGAGCUUUUGUUUUUCUAACUGCAUCUCUGCACACCCUGCAAUGCCCAAUUACUUGGGCAUAAUCCUGAAGCCCAAAAGAAGGUUCAAAGAGAACUGGAUGAGAUGUUUGAAGGAUAUCAAGUAUGGAAUGGCACAAAUAUUCAGAUCAUAAUUUAUGCCGUACGCAGAAACCCCAAGAUCUUCUGUGACGUGGAGGAGUUCAGGUCUGAGCGAUUCAUUCCCCACAAAUUAAUCCAGGCUGCGUUCUAGGGACCAGCAGAAUCCUGUGUUGUCGUUUGUGCCUCUGGGCUUACACACCUGCCUUACAGGAUGCAUGCCUUCUGUCAAUAUGGUCAGAAGGGCUUCCACUUAGGUAAGAGGCUGAAUAAAAGCAGGUUUGCACUUUCA
rnacentral:lncRNA from 1 species